rnacentral:rRNA from 1 species
AAACAUGGCUCCUUGAUUUCCAGUAAUAAGGAGUCGGACCUGCCCAGUGAAUAUUUCAACGGCCGCGGUACUCUGACCGUGCAAAGGUAGCAUAAUCAUUUGCCUUAUAAUUGAAGGCUAGUAUGAAUGGUUUGACAAGAAUAUAGCUGUCUCUUUAUGAUUACCUAGAAUUUUAUUUUUAGGUGAAGAAGCCUAAAUUUAAUUAAAAGACAAGAAGACCCUAUCGAGCUUGAAAGAAUUUAAUGAAAUUUAAAAUUAAUAAUGUUAAAAAAUUAUUUGUUAAAAAUUUUGGUUGGGGCGACUGAGGAACAUAAAAAGCUUCCUUUAUUAAUAGAUUUCAUGCUUGACUUGAUCCAAAAUAUUUUGAUUAAAGAAAUUAGUUACCGUAGGGAUAACAGCAUAAUCUUUUUUAAGAGCUCAUAUCGAAAAAAAGGUUUGUGACCUCGAUGUUGGACCAGAAUAUCCUAAAGGUGCAGAAGCCUUUGAGGGUUGGUCUGUUCGACCAUUAAAAUUCUACGUGA